AGUGGUUUAUUGUCCUUUAAGCCAACAAGUCAAAGCCAUGCUCCAAAACAGAAGCAGGUCUUUCUGAGCUACUUUGUGAAAAAUCCGUGCUAACCUUAUUAGAUGAUGAAUUGUUUUACAAAGGCUAGUUGUAAUGUUGGAGAGAGUACUCUUGAUUAUUUCCCAACUUAAAUAAAAGGUACUUAGCUAGAAGGGAUACAAAAUUCACAGGGCAAGAUUUUACUGCCAGGGAGAUUUUUGUAACACAUGUUCCCGAUGCUCAGUGAUUUUUUUUCUGAAAUGUGGAUCUCCAAUAUGUCACCAAAUCUGCUCCACACGGAAGAGACCGUUCCUCCUGCCAGCAAGAGUUGAACUGACACCUGCUUACAACACGAUCUUUAACAAUCUGAAACAGUUUAAGUAUAGUUGGCAUAUGAAUGACUGCAGUGUGGGGACACCAGAUCGGAAGCCUCCCGGAACUUGUGAGGGCAGAAAAAGAAGUCCUGAGCUCUGCAAGCCCAGUGGAAGGGCUGGUGCUGUUCCUUUCAUGUGCUGACAUAGAGAAGCCCUAUUUGAUUGGAAUACCUUCAGCUCCUCGAACUUAAAUCAUCUUGCCUUGUUGCUGCUCAGAUUGCCUGUCCAGUAGGAGAACUGGUAGAAAAAAGCCUACUUAAGCUGCAGCUGCCAGAAUAAAAGGAAAAUAUCAUGAUUUUGGAUCACAUUUCCAUAGCAGCAAUCAGACUACUAAAAUUCACAAAUAAAGGAUCUGCUUGGGUGCAUGCAGCCAGUAGAAAAUUCUGCGAAUGUUGAAAGGAGCAGCUCACACAACUUACUUCCGAGCUCUAUUUUCAUUUUGUUGAAA